AAAUAUGAUUUUUAAAAAUUUAUUCUACCUAUACACCAAAAUAUUUUUAUUUCUUAACAUUUGUAUUUAUUUCUUAAUAAAAGCAAAACCCUCAUUUUAAUUUUCUGAUUCAAAAUUUUUUUAUUAAUAUUUUUUCAUGUUAUUUUUUUUUUAAUGUUUGUAAAUGUGCUUUUCUCUAAUAGUAAAUAAACACAUCUCUUUGUGUGAGCUGGUGUGGCUGAGUGGUCAGAGUGGUCAGAGUUCAUGGCAUAAGACCUCAACCCAAUGCAGGAGACAUGGGUUCAAAUCCCCACUCUGCUGCAAAUGGAGAAUCCUGUUUUUUCCCCAUUUUGCAGCCAAAAAAAAAAAAAAAAAAAUUCAAAAAGCUUUCUCUUUUUUUUGGUUUCUCUUCCUUUCUCAGGUCCGCCUCUCUUAUCUCCCCCUCUCUAUGGCCUUCCUCUCUCAUCCCCACCUCAGCCUUCAUCUCUUGGCCAUCUUACCGCCCCAGGUAAGAGCCCUGUGUCAUGGUUCAGAGGUUGCUGGAUCUCUGUAGUGUGUGAAAGAAGGUCUGCAUCCCCCCUGAGUCCCAGAGCGAUGUCCAGCAGCGGUUAUGCUUUCCAGCCUGAAAAAAAAAACAAACAAACAAAAAAAACAUUUGGUUUAAACAGCUGUUUAAUUUUUUUCCUUCCUCACCUACUUAGGUUACCAUCAUUUGCAAAGGAGUGACCUAUCAAAAAGAAAAUGAUGGUAACCUAUACACUAACUAGUAAACAGCACACAUUAAUCAUUACCUGUCCAUGAGCAGAUGUCCAUCAUUACAGCGAAUGUCUGUCCGCAUGUCCCAGAGCUCUGCUUCUGUUAACUGGGUGCUCAAACACAUCUGUAGGGUAAAGACAUACACAAUUAACCUCAUCUGUGAAGCCUUGGGUAAAAAAUCUGGGUGUUAUCUUUGAUGUCUAAAAUUUGACAAACAGAUAAAUUCAGUGGUUAAAUCCUGUUUCUUUCAGCUUUGACUACUAGCGAAGGUUAAACCCAUUCUUUCUAGUAGAAAUUUCGAAAAAGUAAUUCAUGCUUUUAAUACAUCUAGACUGGACUGCUGCAAUACGCUGUAUGUAUGUAGGGAUUAGUCAGUCAGCCCUAUCUCGCUUACAGAUAGUUCAAAAUGCAGCUGCUAGGCUUUUAACGUGCUCCAAAAAAACGGGAGCAUAUCACACCAGUUUUAUGUUCUCUACACUGGCUACCCGUGUGCUAUCGAGUUAAUUUUAAAAUUCUUCUUUUAGUGUUUAAAUCAUUAAAUAGUCUGGCCCCUACCUAUCUUUCUGACUUAUUGACUGAACAUCAGCCCCUCUUGUCUCUUCGGUCGUCCAACCAGAGAUUGUUCUGCAUCCCUAAGUUGAGGCUGAAAUGCAGGGGUGACUGCGCUUUCUCGGUAGCUGCCCCUAGAUUGUGGAAUGCCUUGCCCCUCUGUAUUAGAUCUGCACCUUCACUAUCUGAAAAAAAACAAACAAACAUUUGUUUUAACCAGCUGUUUAAUUUUUUUCCUUCCUCACCUACUUAGGUUACCAUCAUUUGCUUUUUAAAGGAGUAACCCAUCAAAAAGAAAAUGAUGGUAACCUAUACAUUAACUAGUAAUGUCAACAUAGAUUUAAAAACUUAAAUCUAUGUUGAAAACUUACCUUUUUGCCGUUUUGUAACUGAGAAUUUUCUACUUUAUGUUUUAUAGUAUUAUUUUGUUUUGUCUUAUUCAAAUGUUUUUAUUGUUGUUGUUCAGCACAUUGGUCAAUACAUGGUUGUGUUUAAUAGUGCUAUAUAAAUAAAAUUAUGGAUAAACUAUCUCA
ensembl:lncRNA